UUUUGGAGACCAUUGGACCAACCUUCUCAUUUAUAGUUGAGGAAACUGAGACUGAAGAAAAUCAAGUGACUUGCCCAGAGUCACACAGCUACACUUAAGGACGUCUCUCUUGGGAAUUUGUUAUAUUGCUGAUCCAGGAUCUGAACCAAAGAACUCGGGGAAGAUGGGAAGGUCCUUCUGGCCACAGAGCCUGGUCCCACAAACAUGGGUCCCAUAAACAUGGAGCUACUUGAUUCCACCUGGCACCAGCACUGGUAAUGCUUUGGGGAGCUUUGAACAGCGUGGUCCUAUACAGUAGCUCUCAUUUUCCUGUGUGGCUAAAUAUUCCGAUCAAUCUUUUUUCUAAUCAAUAUGAGUAGUCUCUCCAGGAAAUCAUCUAGAGGGCAGGGUGCUACAAAGUGUGCUGACUCUGAAAGCAGAAGACCUGGGUUCACAUCCUGAUUCUGAGGCCCUUCUCCUUCCCGGGUAUGACAUUGGUCAAGAAUUCUACUUUCUGGUCUUUGGUUUCUAAGCCUGUCAAGUGAGAAGUUGAUGGCCUCUAAGCUCCCUUCUGGCUCUAUUGUGUGAUCCAAUAUGUGACUACCGGUGAAUAACUUCAUUAUCCUGGACCUCAGUUUCCUCCUUCUAUAAAAUGUGGGGGGAAGUCUUGAUGGCCUCUGAGGUACAUGACAGUUCCCACUUUAAACUAGAAAUCCCAGAACUGCCUACAGGAAUUGACAAUAGAUUUCCUAUUCUCGAGAACCCUUCCUUUGAGACAGAGGUCUGAUGCUGAGUUGACACGCUUUAAAGAGCGCUGUAUCUGGAGUCGAUACCAAGCAAUUGGGGAAUGGCCGAAUAAGCCAUGGCAUACGAAUGCUGUGGAAUAUUAUUGUUCUAUAAGAAACGAUCAGCAGGAGGGUUUCAGAAAGGCCUGGAGAGACUUAUAAGAAGUGAUGUGUGCAGAACCAGGAAAAUAUCGUGCACAGCAACGAGAUUAUGUGACAGAGAGAUAGACUUAGCUCUUCUUAAUGAUACAGAGAUCAAAGACCAUUCCAAUAGACUUUGGAUGGAAAAUACCAUCCAUAUCCAGAAAAAGAAGUACAAAGACUGAAUGGGGAGCAAAGUAAACUAUUUUUGCUUUGUUUUAUUUUUUCUUUCUCUUGGUUUUUCCCCUUUUUUCUGAUUUUUCUCUCCAAUAUGACUCAUAUGGAAAUACUGUAAAAAAAAAUGAAUGUAUAAGUAUAAGCUAAUGAAUAAAUGAAAUUAAAAUGUGAAAA